rnacentral:rRNA from 1 species
GACGUAGGGUCCAAGCGUUGUCCGGAUUUACUGGGCGUAAAGAGCGCGUAGGCGGUCCGUUAAGUGUAGAGUGAAAUCUCUGGGCUCACCCCAGAAACUGCUCUGCAUACUGGCGGACUUGAGGGAUGCAGAGGUUUGUGGAAUUGCUGGUGUAGCGGUGAAAUGCGUAGAGAUCAGCAGGAACACCCGUGGCGAAGGCGGCCACCUGGGCCUAACCUGACGCUGAGGCGCGAAGGCUAGGGGAGCGAACGGG